UACGUAGGGUGCAAGCGUUAAUCGGAAUUACUGGGCGUAAAGCGUGCGCAGGCGGUGAUGUAAGACAGAUGCGAAAUCCCCGGGCUCAACCUGGGAACUGCAUUUGUGACUGCAUCGCUGGAGUACGGCAGAGGGGGAUGGAGUUCCGCGUGUAGCAGUGAAAUGCGUAGAUAUGCGGAGGAACACCGAUGGCGAAGGCAAUCCCCUGGGCCUGUACUGACGCUCAUGCACGAAAGCGUGGGGAGCAAACAGG
rnacentral:rRNA from 1 species